rnacentral:rRNA from 1 species
GACGAACGCUGGCGGCGUGCUUAACACAUGCAAGUCGAGCGGGGAUAUUGAGGAAGCUUGCUUCUGAGAUAUUCUAGCGGCGGACGGGUGAGUAACGCGUGAGCAACCUUUCUCUCAGUGGGGAAUAACACAGGGAAACUUGUACUAAUACCGCAUGGGACCACGACCUGGCAUCUGGUUGGGGUGAAAGAUUUAUCGGUGUAGGGUGAGCUCGCGUCCCAUUAGCUAGUUGGUGAGGUAACGGCCCACCAAGGCGACGAUCAGUAGCCGAACUGAGAGGUUGAUCGGCCACAUUGGGACUGAGACACGGCCCAGACUCCUACGGGAGGCAGCAGUCGGGAAUAUUGCACAAUGGGGGAAACCCUGAUGCAGCGACGCCGCGUAAAGGAAGAAGGUCUUCGGAUUGUAAACUUUUGUCGACAGGGAAGAAGAAAGUGACAGUACCUGUGGAGGAAGCCCCGGCUAACUACGUG